UAGCUCAGAUGGUAAAGCGUCUGCCUGUAAUGCAGGAGAUCUGGGUUCAAUCCCUG
rnacentral:tRNA from 1 species